rnacentral:rRNA from 1 species
UACAGAGGUCUCAAGCGUUGUUCGGAUUCAUUGGGCGUAAAGGGUGCGUAGGUGGCGCGCUAAGUCGGGUGUGAAAUUUCGGAGCUUAACUCCGAAACUGCAUUCGAUACUGGCGUGCUUGAGGACUGGAGAGGAGACUGGAAUUUACGGUGUAGCAGUGAAAUGCGUAGAUAUCGGGAGGAACACCUGUGGCGAAAGCGGCGCACUGGACCACAACUGACGCUGAGGCGCGAAAGCUAGGGGAGCAAACAGG